rnacentral:rRNA from 1 species
UGAACGCUGGCGGCGUGCUUAACACAUGCAAGUCGCACGAGAACGCUUCAGCUUGCUGAAGUUAGUAAAGUGGCGCACGGGUGAGUAACGCGUGGGUAAUCUUCCCCCGAAUUGGGGAUAACAUUGCGAAAGCGAUGCUAAUACCGGAUAAUAUCUUAGAUACUCAGGUUUUUAAGAUCAAAGGUGGCCUCUACAUGUAAGCUACUGUUUGGGGAUGAGCCCGCGUACCAUUAGCUUGUUGGUAGGGUAACGGCCUACCAAGGCCGCGAUGGUUAGCUGGUCUGAGAGGAUGAUCAGCCACACUGGAACUGACACACGGUCCAGACUCCUACGGGAGGCAGCAGUGAGGAAUUUUGCGCAAUGGGGGAAACCCUGACGCAGCAACGCCGCGUGAGUGAUGAAGGCUUUCGGGUCGUAAAGCUCUGUCAAGUGGGAAGAAACCACAAGGUGAUAAUACCACCAUGUGCUGACGGUACCACUGAAGGAAGCACCGGCUAACUCC